rnacentral:lncRNA from 1 species
CCAGGACCUAGAAUACCUAGGUGCUAAGGUGCUACUAUGGGAACAAGAUGUGUUCGCUCUCACCCUAAUGUAGCUGGUGGUCUGCUUCUCCCUCUGGACUUGACCAAGAACCAUGAAUUUUUGUUGUGAUCAUGCAACACAGUGUCUGAAUGGAAUUCCAUCUGAAGACUUACAGCCACCGGCAGUUACACAGCUCAGUGCCCAUUGCAGAAGAAAAACAUAAUGAUGGGAGAACAAGUUUCUAAACAGAAAAGAACACCUGGUAAUGAAGAAGUGUCGCACUUGGGAGGAUGAGGUAAAUAUUUGCUUUGUCAAUGAGGUAUUGAUGCUUCUUAUUUAAAUUGCAAACAUAUUUAUUUAACAAACACUUAUAUACGGCCUACUCUGAGCCAGUCUCCAUUCGAAGAAUUUUAUAAAUAUUAAAUCAUUUAAUCCUCCUAACGUCCGUAUGAAGUGAGUACUCAUUAUCCCCAUUCUACAGCUGAGAAAAUGGAGGCGCAGGGAGGUUAAGUAGCUUGCCCAAGGUCACACACCAUAAUUUGCCCAGGUGUUGGAACUGAGAUUCAAACCCAGGCCGUCUGACUCUUAACCAACACAUUGAAAUUAUGGGUCACAGAUACUGUUGAUAAAAAUGUGCAUUUCUGUAGAGUUAACCAAAUGACCCACAAGAAAUCCAAAUUGAUAACUAUAAUGCCACACUCACAGAAUUUCUAAUGGAAAAUAAAGGAAGGAAUAAAUGUUUCUUGAACA